rnacentral:rRNA from 1 species
UAAUACGUAGGAGGCAAGCGUUAUCCGGAUUUACUGGGCGUAAAGAGGGCGUAGGCGGUUCUUUAAGUCGGAUGUAAAAUCUCCUGGCUUAACCGGGAGGGACCAUUCGAUACUAUUGGACUAGAGUGCAGCAGGGGGAGAUGGAAUUCCCGGUGUAGUGGUGAAAUGCGUAGAUAUCGGGAGGAACACCAGUGGCGAAGGCGGUCUCCUAGGCUGUUUCUGACGCUGAGGCCCGAAAGCGUGGGGAGCGAACAGGAUUAGAUACCCUGGUAGUCCACGCUGUAAACUAUGGACACUAGGUAUAGGGAGUAUCGACCCUCUCUGUGCCGAAGCUAACGCCUUAAGUGUCCCGCCUGGGGACUACGGCCGCAAGGCUA